GCCACUCCCGGCACAUCCCAGUGCCACUCCCAGUUCAUCCCAGUGCCACUCCCAGCACAUCCCAGUGCCACUCCUGGCACAUCCCAGUGCCACUCCCAGCUCAUCCCAGUUCAUCCCAGCACAUCGCAGUGUCACUCCCGGCACAUCCCAGUUCAUUCCAGCACAUCCCAGUGCCACUCCCAGUUCAUCCCAGCACAUCCCAGUGCCACUCUUGAUUCAUCCCAGUGCCACUCCCGGCACAUCCCAGUGCCACUCCCAGUUCAUCCCAGUUCCACUCCCAGCUCAUCCCAGUGCCACUCCCAGUUCAUCCCAGCACAUCCCAGUUCAUCCCAGCACAUCCCAGUGCCACUCCCAGCUCAUCCCAGUGCCACUCCUGGCACAUCCCAGUGCCACUCCCAGCUCAUCCCAGUGCCACUCCCAGCACAUCCCAGUUCAUUCCAGCACAUCCCAGUGCCACUCUUGGUUCAUCCCAGUGCCACUCCCAGUUCAUCCCGGCACAUCCCAGUGCCACUCCCAGUUCGUCCCAGCACAUCCCAGUGCCAUCCCAGCACAUCCCAGUGCCAUCCCAGCCUGGCUCCCGGCUCAGGUUGCCAUGGCAGCGGGAUGUCCCCGCGCUGCCGUGACAUUCCCAAGGUCCCGGCCCCGGUGCUCCCGAGCCCGGCGCGGCUCCCGGCUGGGAUCGGGCUGGGGUCGGGUCCGUGCAGCUCCCGGGCUGAGCUCGCUGUGGGAUCGCCGCCGUUCCCGCCCCGGAGGGAAUUUUUUCCUGCUUUUCAAUCAUCUCCCGGUUUUAUCUGGGAAUCUGCUCCAGGGUCGGGGAGCUGCCCGGUUUGAGGGCUCUGAUCUCCCGGGAUCAGGGCUGGAGGGAAUCACUUCCAGAAUUGUGGAGUGGUUUGGGUUGGAAGGACCUCAAAACCUACCCAGUGCCAUGGGCGGGGACACCUUCCACUGUCCCCAAGCCCGUCCAGCCUGGCCUUGGACACUUCCAGGGAUGGGGCCUCACCUGUCCCAGGGCUGGACGACCCUUUCCAUGAAGGAAUUUUCCCAAAAUCCAAUUUAAACCUCCCCUGCCACAACUCGAGGCCGCUCCCUCUUCUCCUGUUGGUCCCUGGGAGCAGAUCCCGAUUUCCCCUGGCUCCCCCUGUCAGGAAUUACGGGAUAUUUAUAAAUACAGCCUCACAUUCCCUUAUCCAAACGCCCAAAUCCAGCCCUAAAAGCAC
rnacentral:lncRNA from 1 species